rnacentral:rRNA from 1 species
AGCUCCAAUAGCGUAUAUUAAAGUUGUUGCAGUUAAAAAGCUCGUAGUUGGAUUUCGGCUUGAGCCGAUUGGUCCCUCCUCUGGACGGCGUACUGAUCGGUUUUAGCUUCUUCGCGAAGGCCGCGUGUGCCCUUAACUGGGUGGGCGUGGGAUUCGCGACGUUUACUUUGAAAAAAUUAGAGUGUUCAAAGCAGGCAUUCGCUUGAAUAUCUCAGCAUGGAAUAAUAGAAUAGGACUUUGGUCUUAUUUUGUUGGUUUCCGAGACCGAAGUAAUGAUUAAUAGGGACAGUUGGGGGCAUUCGUAUUUCAUUGUCAGAGGUGAAAUUCUUGGAUUUAUGAAAGACGAACUUCUGCGAAAGCAUUUGCCAAGGAUGUUUUCA